CCUGCUUUUGUGGGGUGCUCGAGUGGCGAACGGGUGAGUAACACGUGAGUAACCUGCCCUUGACUUUGGGAUAACUUCAGGAAACUGGGGCUAAUACCGGGUAGGAGCUCCUGCUGCAUGGUGGGGGUUGGAAAGUUUCGGCGGUUGGGGAUGGACUCGCGGCUUAUCAGCUUGUUGGUGGGGUAGUGGCUUACCAAGGCUUUGACGGGUAGCCGGCCUGAGAGGGUGACCGGCCACAUUGGGACUGAGAUACGGCCCAGACUCCUACGGGAGGCAGCAGUGGGGAAUAUUGCACAAUGGGCGGAAGCCUGAUGCAGCAACGCCGCGUGCGGGAUGACGGCCUUCGGGUUGUAAACCGCUUUCGCCUGUGACGAAGCGUGAGUGACGGUAAUGGGUAAAGAAGCACCGGCUAACUACGUGCCAGCAGCCGCGGUGAUACGUAGGGUGCGAGCGUUGUCCGGAUUUAUUGGGCGUAAAGGGCUCGUAGGUGGUUGAUCGCGUCGGAAGUGUAAUCUUGGGGCUUAACCCUGAGCGUGCUUUCGAUACGGGUUGACUUGAGGAAGGUAGGGGAGAAUGGAAUUCCUGGUGGAGCGGUGGAAUGCGCAGAUAUCAGGAGGAACACCAGUGGCGAAGGCGGUUCUCUGGGCCUUUCCUGACGCUGAGGGGCGAAAGCGUGGGGAGCGAACAGGCUUAGAUACCCUGGUAGUCCACGCUGUAAACGGUGGGUACUAGGUGUGGGGGUCCAUUCCACGGGUUCCGUGCCGUAGCUAACGCUUUAAGUACCCCGCCUGGGGAGUACGGCCGCAAGGCUAAAACUCAAAUGAAUUGAC
rnacentral:rRNA from 1 species